UACGGAGGGAGCUAGCGUUGUUCGGAAUUACUGGGCGUAAAGCGCGCGUAGGCGGCUUUGUAAGUUAGAGGUGAAAGCCCGGAGCUCAACUCCGGAACUGCCUUUAAAACUGCAUCGCUUGAAUCCAGGAGAGGUGAGUGGAAUUCCUAGUGUAGAGGUGAAAUUCGUAGAUAUUAGGAAGAACACCGGUGGCGAAGGCGGCCCACUGGUCCGGUACUGGACGCUGAGGUGCGAAAGCGUGGGGAGCAAACAGG
rnacentral:rRNA from 1 species